rnacentral:lncRNA from 1 species
CCUGGAGAGCAUCCGUCAGUGUGGAGUGGCCCUCUGCAUCGUGCUGGGAUUCUCCAUCCUGUCUGCAUCCAUCGGCAGCUCUGUGCUCUUUUACUUGGUUUCCGUCUGCCUGUGUGUUGCCGUUAUUGUCGCCUUCCAGUUAACAGCUUUUACUUUCCGCAAGAACUUGGCAGCCACGGCCCUCCUGCUGUCACUUUUCGGAUAUGCAACUCUUCCAUGGAUGUACCUGAUGUCCAGAAUCUUUUCCAGUUCGGACGUGGCUUUCAUUUCCUAUGUCUCACUAAACUUCAUCUUUGGCCUUUGUACCAUGCUCAUAACCAUUAUGCCCCGGUUGCUAGCCAUCAUCUCCAAAGCUAAGAAUUUACAGAAUAUCUAUGAUGUCCUCAAGUGGGUCUUUACUAUUUUUCCUCAAUUCUGUCUUGGUCAAGGACUGGUAGAACUCUGCUAUAAUCAGAUCAAAUAU